AGCCACCAGGCUCACUCAGUAAAGCAUGAGGCUCUUAAUCUCAGGGUUGUGGGUUCAAGCCCCAUGAUGGGUG
rnacentral:tRNA from 1 species